ensembl:lncRNA
CUUAACUUUAAUUCUUUAGAUGUGGUUUCUUGAGGUACUUGAAACACACUUAGAAAAGCAUUUAGGUAAGCAAGAUACUGGAACAGGAGACUCUGAACUUGCCCUCCAUUCUGGGACUCUGUGAAUGAACUGCUAUACAUGGAUCAAUGCCUCUGAGAGAAAUCCAGAAACUAGUUAAGAGACUCUUUAACACUAGGUGACUAAGAACAUAUCUACAUUGAAAGAGGUAGGAAAAGCUGAGACACACUCUUGCCAUAACCGCCUCCCCCAUCCCCCCACUAAGUGCCCUACAAUUGAGAGGAAACCGCCAACUACCAGCUUCUCCCUGAGGAGUGAAGGGUUUGGACUGCAUAUUUAGCAUCCAAACUUCCUAUGGCUUCUACUUUAAAGAUUGGCUUUGAACUCGCCCAUCUCUGGGAGUUGAUGGUGCCCGGCAUUUGCUAGUCCUCUGGGACCUCAGAGAACAAAGAGGCACUUUUAAAUGGGUGCACGAGCAGUUUCCAGGGCUCUUCCCCCAGCUCAGUGCUGAGGGAGCAAUGAAUUUUACUUCCAAGCUUGAGUUUGACUGCACAUCUAGCACUCUGGCUUUUCCAGCUUCUGCCUAAGGGUCUGACUUCUAACUAGCCAGUCUCUAGGAGUUGACAGGGCUUGGAAUUCCCUAGUCUCCCAGGGUCUACAGAGAAAGAGUUUUGAAGGGCCCUGCAGAGUCUUCAAAUGACUACUCCUUUCAGUUCACUCCAGCAAUAAAACCCAGUGCCUGGCAUCUCUCUGGAAGAGGUUAGACUGCAUACUCCUUCCCUGAAUUUUCCAGUUGCUGUCUUAAGAGUCUGACUUCUAACUUGCCUGUCUCUUGGAGCUGACAAGUCAGGCAACAACUAAUCUCUUGGGAGUUUGAAUGGGUGUGUGGGCACUUCCUGUGGCUCCUCUCCCCAGGCUGCCACAGCAAUAAAAUGAAGCCACCAGUCUCUCCCUAGGAGGACUUGUACUGGGUUUUAACCCAGCUGUCUAUGAAAGCUAAUAUGACACAGCAUUUGCUUGGACUCUGGAGGCAAGAGAGAACAAAGCAGCCUAUUGAAAGAGUGUGUGUUCUAAACAAGGGUAUGGGAAUUUACCACAGCUCCUCUCUGCAGGUCAGUGCAGAGCAAGUGAGCAGUAAACUCCAGCCUCUCCCUGAGAAGAGGACCAAUUGGAUUACACUUAGUGCCCCAACGUUUCCAGCUUCUAUGAUGCUGCCAUCCAUCCAGAGCUGAUCAGAGCAUCAUGAAGGAGCAUCUUCCACUACAAAUAGAUUUGGAACUUUACUUUCAGAGACUUAAUGGCAGAAACACCAGUGUACACAUGUGAUGAUAGAAUAAAAGUUAAAAUAAAGAAUCCUUCAUGAAGUGUCUCACAGCUCUCUAAAGCUUUGGUUCAAUCUCUGCUCCAUUUACAGUCCUGUCCUGUCUGUGCUGUCCACAGUACUCACCUUGGGACACAGCAAGAUUCUGAAGUUCCCUGUGGGCCAUUCACCUAAACGUUC